CUUGGAAUCAAAGGUAAUCUUCAACUCUUAAUUACAAACGAAAGAUUGAUGAAGAAAGAGAUUUUGACGACGAAAUGUGAAGGAAUAAUAUAACAAUACUUAGGACCACAGCUGUUAUGGAAUCCCUCAUUCGGAACCACGAAAACAAAAAUGAGCAGAUUCAACUGAAAAAGAUAAUAUCUAAAGUGAAGGAACUCAUGACAGCGAUGUUGAUCUUCAAUGUAUUGAAACGCUUGACAAAAAAGGUUGGGAGGCCUCGAGUU